CUAAGCUUCUAAAACACCGGAUGAUGUUUUCUAGAUUUGUUUGAAGUUACCACAUGAACAAUGUCAAUAUUGUACGGUGUCUACUGUUUUCGACCCUGUUAUAAAAAAUAAAAAAUAAAUACAGUGAUCAUGUUACACAUAUUAUCAAAAAACGGAACCACAUGGUUUGUCACACUUGGAAACUACCUAAAUUAUGCAAAAUUCAAAAUACCACUGCCCAAAUUUGCAGUUUAGGAGUGUAUAGAUGAUGCUUUAAAAUCUGCAUCUUGAUAUGUAUAGCAUCGUACUCCUAUGGGAGCUGAUCCGUACACAACAAGAUUUAUCCAUACACAACAAAUUUUAAUAAAUAGACAAUUUUAACCUUUUCUCUAUUUAACCAAAUUUUACACUUUACCCCUUGCUGUGAAGCCACAAAGAUGUACAGUAAACGAUCAAAAAACUAGAACUUCAUUCCAAAUAAGUUCACAUUGAUGUUUGGAUUUGAAGACUGGAUAUAAAUUAGAAAAUUUGAUAACCAUAGACUGAUACAAUAUUGUGCAAGAAACUAUACAAAAUUAGAACAUUGAUAUUAUACAGGGACGAUCACAAAAUAGAAUCAUGAUUAAGCAAUUAUAAAUCAAUUCAUGAUUAUAUAGGAAAUGAUUUCAAAUCAGUUCACAGUUCCAAAUUCGUGCUUUUGCAAACUAGAUAAGAGACGCAUUGAGGUUGCAAUUGUACUGGAACGAUCAGAAAAUUGAAUCCAUAAUUAAUCAAAUCAAAAUCAGUUCAUGAUUUUAGAAGAAAAGAUUGUAAAUUAGUUCACAAUUCCAACUUAGUGCUUUUGCAAAUAAGAUAAGAGACACACUGAUACAGGGAAACGGUCAAAAUUAGAAACAAAAUCGCAAUUGUAACGAAAAUUAGCGCGUACCUAUGAAGCAAGCCUGAAGCAGUUGAUGAACGACGGCAGUGGGAUAAGCCGGAGGCUACAGAGACGAUGAAGCAAGCCGGAGGCGGCAACAAGGUGAAGCAAGCAGUGGACGAUGAUUGAAUUGAAUCCGUAUCUUAUCG
rnacentral:lncRNA from 1 species